AAACGCUUGAAGUCAGUCGCGUUGGCUAGAAAUCAGCCUUACUUUUGUUUGGUGUACUUUCUGGUUGACGGGUCAGUAUCAGUUUUGACUGUUGGAUAAAGAUUAGAGGAAUGUGGCAUCUUCGGAUGUGUUAUAGCCUUUGGUUGUAUACAACAGUUGGGACUGAGGAACUCAGCACGCCGCAAGGCCGGGUCUUUGACCACGUCCGUGCUUAGGAUACUGGCAUAAUGGCUUUAAUCGA
rnacentral:rRNA from 1 species